rnacentral:rRNA from 1 species
UAAGUUCCUUGGAACAGGACGUCAGAGAGGGUGAGAAUCCCGUCUUGGGCGGGCGGUCCGCGCCCGUGUGAAGCUCCUUCGACGAGUCGAGUUGUUUGGGAAUGCAGCUCUAAGCGGGUGGUAAAUUUCAUCUAAAGCUAAAUAUUGGCCGGAGACCGAUAGCGCACAAGUAGAGUGAUCGAAAGGUUAAAAGCACCUUGAAAAGGGAGUUAAACAGCACGUGAAAUUGUUGAAAGGGAAGCGCUUGCGGCCAGACUCGGGGGCGGGGUUCAGCGGGUGCUCGUCGCCCGUGUAUUCCUCGUUUCCCGGGCCAGCAUCAGUUUCGACGGCCGGUCAAAGGCCCCCGGAAUGUGUCGUCUCUCGGGACGUCUUAUAGCCGGGGGUGCAAUGCGGCCCGUCGGGACUGAGGAACGCGCUCCGGCUCGGAUGCUGGCGUAAUGGCCGUAAGCGGCCCGUCUUGAAACACGGACCAAGGAGUCUAACAUCCACGCGAGUGUUCGGGUGUCAAACCCGUGCGCGCAGUGAAAGCGAACGGAGGUGGGAGCCCUAGGGCGCACCAUCGACCGAUCCUGAAGUCUUCGGAUGGAUUUGAGUAGGAGCGUGGCCGUUGGGACCCGAAAGAUGGUGAACUAUGCCUGAAUAGGGUGAAGCCAG